rnacentral:rRNA from 1 species
AAUGAACGUUGGCGGCGUGGAUUAGGCAUGCAAGUCGCGCGAGAAGUCAUUUAGCUUGCUAAAAGACGGACAGCGGCGGAAGGGAGAGUAACGCGUGGUUAUGUCCCCUCGAGACCGGGAUCGUGUCGGGAAACUGGCAGUAAUACCGGAUAACAUCCUCGGAUCAAAUGGUGUGAUUCCGCUCGAGGAUCGGACCGCGUACUAUUAGCUAGGUGGUGGGGUAAUGGACCACCAAGGCUUAGAUGGUUACCGGGUGUGAGAGCAUGGCCCGGCUCACUGGGACUGGGACACUGCCCAGACAUCUACGGAUGGCUGCAGUCGAGAAUCUUCGGCAAUGGACGAAAGUCUGACCGAGCGACGCCGCGUGCGGGAUGAAGGCCUUCGGGUUGUAAACCGCUGUCAGUUAGGAGGAAAUCCAUGAGGGUUCUCUCUCAUGGUUGACCGAUUUUCAGAGGAAGGACGGGCUAAGUUCGUGCCAGCAGCCGCCGUAAUAC